UUUCAGUUGGCAAAUGAGCCAAGUGUAAAACAUCAUCAGAAAAACCAGCAUCAACCUCCGUUAUGGUGUAAUGACCUACUCAGUGCUUUAAUGCAAACCUUUCUGCUUGCUUCUCUUCUCUCAGUAGUGCAUUUGUAAUCAAAUUCAUUUGUUUUCCUGGCCAAAGCGCUCAUGCUAACAUCAGCUGACGAGUAUCCGUUCUCCCUCCAUCGUCUCUUUCAUUCAUUUCCCUCUCUCUUUCUGUGGGAAGGGCAGCUCAACAUGAUGAGGUGUGUCUUUAAUAUCGCAAGUGGAAUAGGAGCACCUCAGCAGGGCAUCUAAAUUAACUUGAAGCAGAGGAAUGCGGAAGUCUCAUAAAGAGAAAAUGAAUAAACAAACAAACAAACGAAGAGACAAUGACACUAUAAUCACCACCCAUUGAGUCAGAGCUGUAACAGAACGAAUUGAACUCUAAAGUGAUCUGAAUACCAAGUUGCACUUUUGUCGAAUGCGCACAUUUCCCGCAGCGAGCGUUUUGUGCGCCUCGGUGCUUGAAGAAAGUGACAGGUGCUGUUUUUUUGUUGGAUGAUGUUUACAGGUUGGGUCAUGCAAAGUACAGCACACAAGCUUUGCUGGCGACGAUCGGGAUCAGUCGAUGUGCAAUCCCGCGCCGAGUCCUCAUGACGGAUGAUUGAUAGGCCUCAGCGGCGGCGCUCCCAAUCUGAUCCUCGCACAUGAUAAUGCAUUCUCCUUUUGUCUGCCUAUCACCUAAUGCAGUGGUCGAAGAUGACAGAGCGCUCGCCGCACUUCGCCGAGAGAAAGAAAUGAUAUCUUUUUCAUUGGAGCAAAACCAGAAACUAUGAGGAGGGGGAAAAAUGGAGGGAAAGAUGGAAAAGUUCCCCCGCUUUCUGUCUCCAGAGAAAGAGAGGCCUUAUUAUCCGCCUGCAUUUGCAUGAUGAGAAAACACAGCUCAUAUUCAUCUUAGUAAAGUUGUAAUAAAUGAUUUCAACAGCAUCAUCAUCAAUUUUACGCAGGUGCGCUUGUGAAAAUCACUCACUUCAAUCAAAAGAACCUUAGCUCCCUCUGUUAAAGACGGCUCAUUUUUUACUAUCACACGCUAUAGCACUGAAAUUUGGUGGAAAGAGUGAAAGCAGAGAGGAAAGAGAGAGAGAGAGAGAAAGAAGUUGAAGGAAAACCAUAUUUACCGCUGGAUGGCGCUACCAAGCAAUUAAGAAGAAUGAGGUUAUUACACAAAAGUGGUGACUUUUGCAUCUUUAAAAGAUGGAUAUAAAGAAUAAAAUUGUGAUUUUAAAACAUAACAGGUGUAAAGUAUGGGGUAUUGUUUUUGGACUCCUCUUUACUAUAAUUGUUUUUUUAAUUGUUUACUUUUAAGCAAUUUUUUUAGCUUGAGUUAAAAAAAAAAACUAUAUGCAAUGUAAAUUAUUUUAACUGUGUCUCAUUAAACUCAC
rnacentral:lncRNA from 1 species